UUGCAAACAACCUGUUCCAGUGGCUUUUAACAGACUAUGAGUGUUCUUCUUGAUGUCAAGCAAUUUUCCAGAAAUUAAGAACAAUGAAUCACGGAACAGCAAGCUUCAACUUUAAGCAAUUGUUUAAGGUUCAAUUAAUAGCUUUGACAGUUUCUUGAGCAACCUAUUACAGUCAAUCUGUUCCAAUGGCUUUUAGCAGAU
rnacentral:lncRNA from 1 species